UACGGAGGGUGCAAGCGUUAGUCGGAAUUACUGGGCGUAAAGGGUGCGUAGGUGGGAAUAUAAGUUAGAUGUGAAAUACCGUUGCUCAACAACGGCCGUGCAUCUAAAACUGUAUUUCUUGAGGGAAAGCGGAGAAAACGGAAUUCCAUGUGUAGCGGUGAAAUGCGUAGAUAUAUGGAAGAACACCUGUGGCGAAAGCGGUUUUCUAGCUACCCCCUGACACUGAGGCACGAAAGCAAGGGGAGCAAACAGG
rnacentral:rRNA from 1 species